rnacentral:rRNA from 1 species
AUUGAACGCUGGCGGCGUGCUUAACACAUGCAAGUCGAGCGGUAACAGGUGUAGCAAUACAUGCUGACGAGCGGCGAACGGGUGAGUAAUGCUUCGGAAUCUUCCUCGUAGUGGGGAACAACCUGGGGAAACUCAGGCUAAUACCGCAUACGAACUACGGUUGAAAGCAGGGGAUCGCAAGACCUUGCGCUAUGAGAUGAGCCGAAGUCGGAUUAGCUAGUUGGUGGGGUAAAGGCCUACCAAGGCGACGAUCCGUAGCUGGACUGAGAGGACGAACAGCCACACUGGAACUGAGCCACGGUCCAGACUCCUACGGGAGGCAGCAUUGGGGAAUAUUGGACAGUGGUGGCGACCCUGAUCCAGCGACGCCGCGUGUGUGAAGAAGGCCUGCGGGUUGUAAAGCACUUUUAGUGGGGAUGAAAAGUUCAGGGCUAACACCGCUGAAUCUUGACCUAACCCAAAGAAAAAGCACCGGCUAACUCUGUGCCAGCCGCCGCAGUAACAC